GGGAACAUACCCUUUUCUACGGAAUAGCUCUGGGAAACUGGAAUUAAUACCGUAUACGCCCUACGGGGGAAAGAUUUAUCGGGGAAGGAUUGGCCCGCGUUGGAUUAGCUAGUUGGUGGGGUAAAGGCCUACCAAGGCGACGAUCCAUAGCUGGUCUGAGAGGAUGAUCAGCCACAUUGGGACUGAGACACGGCCCAAACUCCUACGGGAGGCAGCAGUGGGGAAUAUUGGACAAUGGGCGCAAGCCUGAUCCAGCCAUGCCGCGUGAGUGAUGAAGGCCUUAGGGUUGUAAAGCUCUUUCACCGAUGAAGAUAAUGACGGUAGUCGGAGAAGAAGCCCCGGCUAACUUCGUGCCAGCAGCCGCGGUAAUACGAAGGGGGCUAGCGUUGUUCGGAAUUACUGGGCGUAAAGCGCACGUAGGCGGAUAUUUAAGUCAGGGGUGAAAUCCCAGAGCUCAACUCUGGAACUGCCUUUGAUACUGGGUAUCUUGAGUAUGGAAGAGGUAAGUGGAACUGCGAGU
rnacentral:rRNA from 1 species